rnacentral:rRNA from 1 species
AUGAACGCUGGCGGCGUGCCUUACACAUGCAAGUCGAGCGAGGCCAGGGGGCAACCCCUGAGUCGAGCGGCGAACGGGUGAGUAACGCGUGGGUCAUCUACCUCGAGGUGGGGGAUAACCCGGGGAAACUCGGGCUAAUACCGCAUAACAUCUACGGAUCAAAGAGGGCCGCAAGGCUCUCGCCAUGAGAGGAGCCCGCGUACGAUUAGCUAGUUGGCAGGGUAAUGGCCUACCAAGGCGACGAUCGUUAGCCGGCCUGAGAGGGUGAUCGGCCACACUGGAACUGAGACACGGUCCAGACUCCUACGGGAGGCAGCAGUGGGGAAUUUUGCGCAAUGGGCGAAAGCCUGACGCAGCAACGCCGCGUGGAGGAUGAAGGUCUUUGGAUUGUAAACUCCUGUCAGCAGGGAAAAAGCGAAUCGACCUAAUACGUCGGUGAGUUGAUUGUACCUGCAGAGGAAGCCCCGGCUAACUCUGU